UGAGGAAUAUUAGACAAUGGGCGCAAGCCUGAUCUAGCCAUGCCGCGUGAGUGAAGAAGGCCUUCGGGUUGUAAAGCUCUUUCAGAUGUGAGGAUAAUGACAGUAACAUCAGAAGAAGCCCCGGCUAAAUUCGUGCCAGCAGCCGCGGUAAUACGAAUGGGGCAAGCGUUGUUCGGAAUCACUGGGCGUAAAGCGUACGUAGGCGGUUUUUCAAGUCAGGAGUGAAAUCCCAGGGCUCAACCCUGGAACUGCUCUUGAAACUGGAUCACUAGAGUCCCGGAGAGGUUGGCGGAAUUCCGAGUGUAGAGGUGAAAUUCGCAGAUAUUCGGAGGAACACCAGUGGCGAAGGCGGCCAACUGGACGGGAACUGACGCUCAGGUACGAAAGCGUGGGGAGCAAACAGG
rnacentral:rRNA from 1 species